AUGGCGAGCCGAGGCGGAUACGCCUGGGCCCUCGCGGCGGGCCUCAACGCCGCGCUCGCCGCCAUCUCCGCCAAGUUCUUCGCGCCCAUGUUGCUCAAAUACGGAAUGGUGAUACUUUUCAACGUGACAAUGUGGGGGUGCUACGUGAACAGCCUCAAAGCUUUGUCGUCCCUCCAGGCAACGGUCACCAACUUCGCCGCCAACUUCAUCUCGUCAGGUCUUGCAGGGUAUUUCCUGUUUCAGGAACCUCUGCCUUCUAAGUGGUUUGCAGGUGCCAGUCUGAUCAUUCUUGGUGUGUUCAUCCUCAGCAAAUCAAGUAUUGAGGAGAAAGUGAACUCUGAUUGA
rnacentral:rRNA from 1 species